rnacentral:rRNA from 1 species
GCUCAGAUUGACCUGCUCAGAUUGAACGCUGGCGGCAGGCCUAACACAUGCAAGUCGAGCGGCAGCACGGGUACUUGUACCUGGUGGCGAGCGGCGGACGGGUGAGUAAUGCCUAGGAAUCUGCCUGGUAGUGGGGGAUAACGCUCGGAAACGGACGCUAAUACCGCAUACGUCCUACGGGAGAAAGCAGGGGACCUUCGGGCCUUGCGCUAUCAGAUGAGCCUAGGUCGGAUUAGCUAGUUGGUGAGGUAAUGGCUCACCAAGGCGACGAUCCGUAACUGGUCUGAGAGGAUGAUCAGUCACACUGGAACUGAGACACGGUCCAGACUCCUACGGGAGGCAGCAGUGGGGAAUAUUGGACAAUGGGCGAAAGCCUGAUCCAGCCAUGCCGCGUGUGUGAAGAAGGUCUUCGGAUUGUAAAGCACUUUAAGUUGGGAGGAAGGGCAGUAAAUUAAUACUUUGCUGUUUUGACGUUACCGACAGAAUAAGCACCGGCUAACUCUGUGCCAGCAGCCGCGGUAAUACAGAGGGUGCAAGCGUUAAUCGGAAUUACUGGGCGUAAAGCGCGCGUAGGUGGUUUGUUAAGUUGGAUGUGAAAUCCCCGGGCUCAACCUGGGAACUGCAUUCAAAACUGACAAGCUAGAGUAUGGUAGAGGGUGGUGGAAUUUCCUGUGUAGCGGUGAAAUGCGUAGAUAUAGGAAGGAACACCAGUGGCGAAGGCGACCACCUGGACUGAUACUGACACUGAGGUGCGAAAGCGUGGGGAGCAAACAGGAUUAGA